ACCGCCUAUUACAACAUCCAUAAUCAGUAACUGUCUGUCAUCUGCUGCUUAAUCCUACAUUGCUGGAAAACAGAAGACAAGAUUUUAAAUUCUCGUGCUGAAAUUGUUUGUAGUCAUAUACAGUAAAAGACAUUUCAGAGAUCUCAGCUCUACCCUGAAAUAUGGAAUUCUGAAAGAAAGUUUUGCCUAAGUAUAUUAGAGAAAGAGAAAUACUGAACUACAAUACUGAUGAAGCCAUGCAACAGUUGGCUGUUCUGGAUUUAAUACAAUCUUUUUCUGGUGAAAACUGAGGGAGGAAAAGUGUUCAGUUCAUCUCAAUGUGAAACAGAAAAAUUAUGGAACUUGGAAGCAUUCACUGUGUCUUGCCACACAGAAAAAUUUUGCCUUGAUUUCUUAUCUAUAGUCAUAAACAAGUGCAUUCGUAGUUUCGGUUACUGAAUCAGUGAGGAGUCUUCUUCUUAGUUCCGAAACUAAAAUCAAGGCGGUAUUGCCAAUAACUCAUUAAAAUUUAACAAGUAUACUAUCACUGAAUAUCACACAAAAAUGCUUUGUGGUUUGUAAACACUGAGACCCUAAGUUUAGUUAAGAUUACUGUCUUUUGCAGAUGCUGUUUGACGCACGGAAACAGACUCUAUAACCCGCGUAAGGUUAUAAAGCAGUUAUCUAUAAAAGCAUUUCCGUCCAGCUCCAUACCCAUGGUGUUUCCAGUACGAAGUCUGUGACCCAUCUAUUAUCGUCCUUUGCCUGUGCACCACAUCCAGUGUCUCAGCUUCUCAGCGUUUCUGCCACCAUACUAGGACUGUAUUUCUCUUCAUCAUUGUCUUAGAGACAUAAAUACCUAGUUCUAUGUGGAAUAAUGUCUUAUUACCAUGCACAACCCUUCUGAAGUUAACUCAUGCACUUUUUUUAAUUUGAAGUAGAAAAAUAAUUUUGAAUUGACACAAUUUCAUUUUCAUUUGUUUUAGUCAAUGAAAUCUUUCUUCCUUUAACUGGCUUUUAUCAGUUAUUCAUUAGUGACAUAUAUUCCAUCAAUAAAUCUUGGCCAAGCAUAUUCAAUUCUCACAUGCUACUAUUCUCAAAAUAACAGUUUGUAGGAGCAAUGAAUAAAGCUCAGAAGAAAUCACAGUGCCUUCAUUUCACAGUAGUAUUUCAUGUAUCUACAGUUCUCAAAAUAAUAAAAAUGAGAACAUAGUAAUUUUUACACUUUUUAUGGUAAAAGGUAUAUGAACUGCAAGAACUAUGCUUAUAUAGAUGAUGGUGUCAUUAUAUAUUAUGGUACUAUGUUACUCCUGUUUUUUCAGUGCAACUUCCUGGGUCAUUUCCAUCAACUUUUUUUUUUUUUUUUUCUGGUUUGUUAGAAUAAGUGCAGGAAUCUUUUCUUUCUUUUCUUUUUAGAGUAAUGCAAUAAGAAGUAUCAUAGUCUCUCACAGUCUUGAUAGCUGUACAGUUAUCCAUUUAGCUCUACUUUACUCAUGGCAGCUUUGGAUUUUCACUGUCCCCUUUUUCAGAUUCAGCUAGCACAUUCAGAGUUUUGUAAACAUUGAUAUUAAUGUAUAUCUUGUUAUGAUUUCAUUUUAUGCUUUUUGCUGUUUCCUGGGCUAUCAUAAAUCCAGUGAAAAUUGUUUUAUAGUCAUCUUUCACUAUCUGCAGAACUCUGUUUAGUGGGUUUGAAUAAUGGCAAGAUUUUAUUUCUUUGGCCACCUACAUGGUAUUUUAAGAGAUAAACUCUCUAUUCUUACCUUUAAUUUGUUAACAGGAAAGGCAGUGGAUCUCAAUAGGUAAAGAAACAUUCUUCUUUUCUAAACCAAUCUCACUUUAAUUGCAUUUACCAUAAUACUCAUCUGGGGACCUUUCAGUUUUCUUUGUUUCAUUGCAUCUAGGAUAUAGAAAGCAGUUUGAUUCAACACUUCGGUAUUAUAUACUCAUUAAGUAAAUUAAAAAUAUAGUUGGAUGAAAAAUCACUAUUCUCCCUCCUUGACAUAUUGGAUUUUCUUAUUCUGACAAAAACAAGUGAAUACUUGUUUGUCCUGCAGAGCUGAACAAGCUGCAGACUAGAGAGGCAUAAAUUAUUUUGUUUUCAUGAAUCAUUAGCAAAAUUGGCAGCCUCAAUCUUUCUCAUGAAUCUUUUUAAUUGGCAAGAUACCCCCAUUUUAAUUAGCAUAUGCAUAAUAACAUUAAUCCAUAUGUCUCCUGCUCUUUAGCUUAUUUUGUUAGAAGCAGGGUACUAUUCUAUAUAUCUGUCUUGAUGGUUUCUCUGCUCCUAAAUGGUUUUAUCACUCAUCAAUUCAUCUAAAAUUCCCUGAAGAUUAUUGCUUAUUGGAUUUUUAUAUAUUUAUUCUACCACUUAAUUCUAGUAGAUAGGCUUAAACAGAGGAAGAGAUGGCUUUAAUGAUAUCUGCCAACCUUAUUAUGUAAGAUUCCAUUUUUAUAGCAAGAAACAAUAGCAUGCAGCAAUUUACAGUGAUUUUUGAGUCUUUUCUGUAAGAUCCUCAGAAGAAAAAAAGACACAAAAUGCACAAAAGUUAAAAAACUGGAAGAAUCUGAUUGUCUUUUGUUUUGAACAGAAAAAGGACAGUGAACGAGAAUUUCUGAACAUGUAAGAAACAUAACCAUUUCAAAAUGUUAAAAGAAAAAAAAACAUAGUAGAAAACAGAACAAAUUCUUUCUAAAGGAAAAAAGCCAACAAAACAUCUACGCACACAGUCCUCCUUUCAGGACAAGAUAUUAAAUUCACUGACUGAAAGGAUUUAUUAGUUUUUGUGUGGAGUACAGUAAUUGCAAAAUUUCGUAGACUAGUGUUUGUUCCUAGAACAACAUAGUCUAUGGCAAAGCCAGUUAUGUUUCACAUCAUUCUCAUACUUCAUGUUGCUCUAGAAUGGAAAAUGAGGGUAAUGAAAGAAGGAAACGCAAUUCUAGAGGAGCUAUGAAUAUACAGUUCAGCUAUUGAAGAACAGAAUAGUCCUGAAUAUUCUCUGUAAAUAUUACAACAAAAGUAUUUGCAAUUAAAAAAACCCAAAAACUAAAGGGAAGGGGAAAGAUUGUAUAUUGUUAAGAUAGCUACGUUCCUAGUAUUAAGAAAUGUAUUCAAAUACAGUUGAUUCAGAAUGCUGAGUGUUGCACUUGGUAUCAUCUCUGGGCAUCUGUUCUUGUUGCAGAGAGGCAACAUAAAAAAAGCAGCAGAUCAUUUUAAAUGGAAAAAAAAUACUCUGUAGUAGAAAAGACAAAUGCAGUAAAAAGUGUUGUUUUAAAAAUAGGUGAAAAAUAUAUGUCUAUGAUCAAAGGAGAGAGUAGAACCUCCCAAAGCACAAUUAAUAUUACUUAUUUUCUAUUCCAAUUUUAGGUAACAAUUUAUCUUACCAAUUCAUCUAUUAUCUUAAAAGCAGUCUAAAUUAUUGCCUUUUAAAAGAUAUUAGAUGGUUUAUUUAGGUGGUUAGGCAAUAUAAAUUACACUAAAAAUCUCAAGAGUUUCCACUUACCCUAAUAAAUAUGAGGUUAGAACUCUCAGUUGUCCAGGGGCAAUAACACAACAAAAGAAAGCCUGAUCUUAUUCACUUUAAAAGUACCAAUCAACUACAAUAAGAAGCAAGGUGGAGAGAAUGGAAAAGGAGUUAAAGGGUAAGAGGAAGUUGAAAUACCAGAUCAAGGAUCUUCAGGUAUAGCAUGCACUGCAAAAUUUUACUACUAUUUAAAACUACUGGAUAAUAAAAUGAUAUCACAUAAAGUCCUAUACAGAAAAUAUCAAAGAGAUUUCUUUAGUACCAAUGUAAAGAUGUAUAUUUCUUUGAUGUUUCUGUGCCAUGGCAGAGAACAGCAAAAAAAGUAAUGUGAUCAUUUUACCAGUUUAAUAGUAGAUCAGAUGACUCUUUUGUCAAUAAAAGGAGGAUUAGUUCAGGCAGAAGUAUCAGAAACAUUUGUACUAGUUGCUGCAUAAAAAGAGGCAGAAGGCAUAAAAAAGACCAUGAGCAGACAUUUAAUAUGAUUAUGUGACCAUUUUCCAGUCAUUUGAGUAUUGGGAUUUUGUUUUGUUUUUGUAGCACAAAGAACAGUUUAGUGAGGUUACUGUGGAAGACAACUGUUUUUUUGGCUCACUUCAUGAGGCCUUUUUGGUGGUAAGACCCUAACUGACAACUGUGAAUUAUCUAGGGGGGUGAGCGGUGGGUGUCACCAUGCCACAGUACUUCAGUUUAUGAUUGUAAAGAUAAGCAGAAGGGGGACAAGCAGACUUUUUCGGAGGUGUGGCUGGAAGGAGCUGACGGCUGCAAAAGGCGAUAAUGCUUGUGCAUGGCAACGAAGGCACCACUCCCUGCUGCCUUAUCUGUUGGGCCAGAAACAGAAGAAAAAGAAGGAAAAAACUGUGAAACGGGGGAUAAAAGGUACCCACUAAACUAAGUUCUUUGGAGGAGAAGAACUUCCAAAGAAAAAAAACCUUUGAUGGAGGAAUUCCCUAACAAAAAAAAAAAACCUCUUAGGAAAGGACCCCGCGGGGCCUGCUUGCUCUAAAACUUCCUGGCUUUCUCCCAUCCCCCGCGGUGAUUGGAUGAGUUCCUGAGAUCAACAGAGGCGCUACGAACAACGCUGGAGCCACGGUGGUGAAACUCUCUCUCUUGCUUUCUGCAAGGACUCCUUGUUUUUAUUUUCUUAUCCCUUUUCAAUUGCCCGCCUUCCCUUCCCCGUCUCCCUAAGCAACUAGGAUUUGUAAUAAUCUGAUCAGGCUAACAUUUGAUCCAUUGUGUUUUAAUCUCAUCGUCAGGUAUGCAUAUAUGAAAAGAACCUCCUCUCCCUCCUAUAAAUUGGAUCGAGACAGUUACACAAUAGUCUGCAUUAAAUUGGUAGGAGAAAAUCCCUUCUAAAGCUUGAACAUGCAUACUUGAUUUAAAGAGAGGAAACAGAUGUCGGGAGUGUCUGUUUUAUCCACACUCAUUCUAAGACACAAUCUAUGAGGAAAGCAUUGUAAUGUAUUGCAACCUUUUGCAUAUUUAAUUUCACAGCAUAUUUGGGAGAUGAAAUUUAGGUGUGCACAAAUAACACUAGUGUCUGAGGACUAGGGUGGGGCAUCUUCAUACAGUUUCUCACUCAAAUAAAAUUCAUUCCUUUUCUAAAACUAAUAUUGUUUGAGUUUUCUUAAAAACAUAUUGUCUGUCACCCUUAAUGCAACUGUAAGUCUUUCUAAUACUGGAAGAAUGUAUAAUGUAUGGAAUCAUAAAAACAAAAAUUCUGGGAAAAUGUGUUAUGCUUUGUACAUUCUUACAAUAAAAUCAAAACUUAGUUUUUGUAGA